GAUGAACGCCGGCGGUGUGCCUAAUACAUGCAAGUCGUACGCACUGGCCCAACUGAUUGAUGGUGCUUGCACCUGAUUGACGAUGGAUCACCAGUGAGUGGCGGACGGGUGAGUAACACGUAGGUAACUUGCCCCGGAGCGGGGGAUAACAUUUGGAAACAGAUGCUAAUACCGCAUAACAACAAAAGCCACAUGGCUUUUGUUUGAAAGAUGGCUUUGGCUAUCACUCUGGGAUGGACCUGCGGCGCAUUAGCUAGUUGGUGAGGUAACGGCUCACCAAGGCGACGAUGCGUAGCCGACCUGAGAGGGUGGUCGGCCACACUGGGACUGAGACACGGCCCAG
rnacentral:rRNA from 1 species